UACGUAGGGUGCGAGCGUUAAUCGGAAUUACUGGGCGUAAAGCGUGCGCAGGCGGUUUUGCAAGCCGGAUGUGAAAGUCCCCGGGCUUAACCUGGGAAUCGGCAUUUGGGACUGCAAGGCUGAGUGGCGGCAGAGGAGACUGGAAUUCCUGGUGUAGCAGUGAAAUGCGUAGAUAUCAGGAGGAACACCUAUGGCGAAGGCAGCUCGCUGGGACGUGACUGACGCUGAGACGCGAAGCGUGGGGAGCAAACAGG
rnacentral:rRNA from 1 species